rnacentral:rRNA from 1 species
CCUACGGGAGGCUGCAGUGAGGAAUAUUGGUCAAUGGGCGUAAGCCUGAACCAGCCAAGUCGCGUGAGGGAUGACUGCCCUAUGGGUUGUAAACUUCUUUUAUACAGGAAUAAAACGAGGCACGUGUGCCUUUUUGCAUGUACUUUAUGAAUAAGGAUCGGCUAACUCCGUGCCAGCAGCCGCGGUAAUACGGAGGAUCCGAGCGUUAUCCGGAUUUAUUGGGUUUAAAGGGAGCGUAGAUGGGUUGUUAAGUCAGUUGUGAAAGUCUGCGGCUCAACCGUAAAAUUGCAAUUGAUACUGGCAGUCUUGAGUACAGUUGAGGUAGGCGGAAUUCGUGGUGUAGCGGUGAAAUGCUUAGAUAUCACGAAGAACCCCGAUUGCGAAGGCAGCUUACUAAACUGUGACUGACAUUGAUGCUCGAAAGUGUGGGUAUCAAACAGGAUUAGAUACCCUGGUAGUC